CAGUAGCCACGGUAACACGAACCGUGCGAACGUUAUUCGGAAUUACUGGGCUUAAAGCGCGUGUAGGCGGGCCGGCACGUCCGACGCAGAAAUCCCCCGGCUCAACCGGGGAAGUGGCGGGGAUACGACCGGCCUCGAGGGGGGUAGGGGGACCUGGAACUUCCGGUGGAGCGGUGAAAUGCGUUGAGAUCGGAAGGAACGCCCGUGGCGAAAGCGAGGUCCUGGACCCUUUCUGACGCUGAGACGCGAAAGCCAGGGGAGCGAACGGGAUUAGAUACCCCCGUAGUCCCUGUCUCUUAUU
rnacentral:rRNA from 1 species